AUGUGCCUCCUGCACCCCUGGGUGGCUCUUGCACCUCUGGGGUGACUCCUGCACCUCUGGGGUGGCUCCUGCACCCCUGAGGUGGCUCCUCCAUCUCUGAUGUGGCUCCUGCACCCCCGAGGUGGUUCCUGCACCCCUGAGGUGGUUCCUGAACCCCCGAGGUGGCUCCUGCACCCCCGAGGUGGCUCCUGCACCCCUGGGUGACUCCUGCACCCCCGGGGUGGCUCCUGCACCCCCGAGGUGGCUCCUGCACCCCUGAGGUGGCUCCUGCACCCCUGGGUGCCUCCUGCACCCCUGGGGAUCCCCCCACCCUAAAUCCCUUCCCUGUGGCCCCUCGAGGAGGGGGGAGCAGCUCAUGUCCCCCAUCCCAGACCCCCCAGCUGGGUGCUGGCACCUCUCCUGUGGGGUCUGACCCCCCAUUUUCCCCCACCCCACCCCACGAACACUACAGCUCCCCCCACCUCCUGUGCCUUCCCCACGGCAUUCCAACAUUCCCGGUGCCCCGGGAGCCUUUUAACGUUCCCCUCUCCGAAAAGGAGGGGUUGUACCUGGAAAAAUAAACUUUGUCCGGAACUUUGGGAA